CGGGGCGGGGGCAGCGCCGAUCCGCUCCUCCCCUUCGCGCCGUCCGCGCCGCGGCUCAGCAGCACAAAAGACAGAGUGCCUGUUUCCUUGAAGUUAACCCCAAGCUGAGUCCUCACUGCAGACAUAGUUUGCUGAAGAUGAUGCUGGGCAGAGCAGCUUCUUGCUGUGUCAGCUAUGGAAGGCCACCUUUGUGCUAACUUGAAGACUUGUGUGGAAAAACCUCUGGCAGCCAGUCCUCCAUCCUGCAUUGCUUUGCUGAAGGUAUACCGAGAGCUUCUGGUCAGUAAGAUCCGGCACACCCAGUGUUUGCUUGACAACUUGAUUAACAAUGAGUACUUCUCCACUGAAGAUGCAGAGAUUGUUGUCCAGUUUCCAACUCAAGCAGAUAAGGUUCGCAAAAUUCUAGACUUGGUUCAAAGCAAGGGAGAGGAAGUUUCAGAAUAUUUCAUCCGUGUCCUGCAGAAAGUCACUGAUGCUUACUAUGAACUUCAGCCUUGGCUGGAUGAAAUAGGUUACCAGCCUUCAGAGAAUAUUUGUAGUAAACCUGUGGUAAAUACAGAUCCAGUUAGCAGGUAUUGCCAAAAACUCAGAUAUGAACUGGGACGGGACUCCAAAUUCGUUAUGUCGUAUGCGCAGAGGGAAGAGAUGCUGCUGGAAGAAAUCUACUCUAACAGUAUUAUGGAGAUGGUCAAUUUUACCAAUGAGAGCCUGGGUGAAGUGUGUCAAUUACAAGCCCUUUUUGAUGAUGCAGUUGGGGUAAUAAAUGAAGAUGGAGAGACUAUUUAUGUCUUUGGCGAUGCAGGAAUUGGAAAAUCUAUCUUGCUGCAAAAGAUACAAAGUCUUUGGGCCAAAAAACAGUUGGAUGUAGGGGCUAAGUUUUUCUUCCAUUUCCGAUGUAGGAUGUUUAGUUGCUUUAAGGAAGAUGAAGCUGUAUGUUUGAAAGACUUACUCUUCAGAUAUAAUUGCUACCCAGAUCAGGACCCCACAGAGGUGUUCCAUCACAUCUUGCAGUUCCCUCACACGGUUCUUUUCACAUUCGAUGGCUUUGAUGAGAUCUAUUCCAACUUUGAUCUCAGCAGUGUUCCUGAGAUGUGUUCACCCAAUGAACCCGUCCACCCUCUGGUGCUGCUGGUAAGCCUUCUCAGAGGAAAGCUUCUUAAGGGAUCCAAGAAAAUUCUUACAGCACGGACAGGAACUGAAAUCCAAAGAAAUGUCAUUAGAAAGAAAGUGUUGCUUCGUGGUUUCUCCAGCAAUAACCUGAAGGAAUACACUGCCUUGGUUUUUAAAGAUGCGGGGCAGCGAACGCUGAUACUGAACCAGCUGGAAGCUAAUCCCAACCUCUGUAGUUUGUGUUCAGUGCCUUUAUUCUGUUGGAUUAUCUUUAAAUGUUAUGAACAUUUCCACUCCAUGUUUGACAGCCAUGAGCUUCCAGACUGUUCUGUUACAUUGACAGAUGUAUUCUUGCUCAUGAUUGAAGUCCAUCUAAACCGGUCUCUGAAAACAAGUUUGCUGAAGAACAACGUCAGGAGCCAAGCAGAGGUGUUCAAAUCAAGAAAGGAAACUCUUCUAGCUUUGGGUAAAAUUGCAUACAAAGGGAUGAGGAACUCUAUCUUUGUCUUUGAGCAAGAGGAGGUCUCAUCAGCGAACAUCUCUGAAGAAGAUUUGCAGUUGGGUUUUCUCAGGACAGUUAAAGGUUACAGUGGCUGUGACAAUCAAUCCACUUAUGAGUUCUUGCACUUAACCCUUCAGUCUUUUUUCACCGCUUUGUACCUAGUUAUGGAAGAGAGAGUGGGGAUUAAGGAGUUACUUCAGUUUUUCAAUGAAUGCUCUUCUGCUGAGACUGCCCAGCGUACUUGCUUUCACAUUCCUUGGCUGAAGAAACCACUCACAGGGGAGGAUCCUUUCCGAAACAAUGAACACUUCCAUUUUACCAAUCUCUUCCUUUGUGGCCUGCUUUCCAGAUCCAAGGAGAAGCUCUUCAAACAAUUAGUUUUGCCUGCAGUCAUUAGAAAGAAGAGGAAGACACUCAUCACAUACCUUGGGGGAAGCAUGAAAUCCCAUCUGAAGGGUGUCACUCGGUCCAGGCUUCUAAAGUACAAUCAGGUGCAGGUUCAGCCAAACUUUGUUUGGAUGCUGAGGUGUCUUUAUGAGACUCAAAAUGAGACAGUGGGAAAGCUGGCUGCGAAACGCAUGCAUGCCAAUUACAUCAAGCUUACAUACUGCAAUGCCUACUCUGCUGACUGCAGUGCUAUUUCCUUUGUCGUGCAUCACUUUCGAAAGCGCUUGGCUCUGGAUUUGGACAACAACAACAUCAAUGACUAUGGGGUGAAACAGCUGCUACCGUGUUUCAGCAAGCUUGCAGUCAUCAGGCUCAGUGUAAAUCAGAUCACAGAUCAUGGAGCAAGGAUAUUGUACGAAGAACUCUCCAAGUACCAAAUUGUAUCUUACUUGGGCUUAUACAACAAUCAGAUCACUGACAUUGGAGCCAAAUAUGUUGCAAAACUUAUUGAAGAGUGUUCAAGCCUUGAAUAUGUUAAAAUAGGAGCAAACAAAAUAACUAGUGAAGGAGGGAAGUGCCUUGCCCAGGCCAUCCAGAAGAACACAAUGAUGUUUGAAAUCGGGAUGUGGGGCAAUCAGGUUGGAGACGAAGGUGCAAAGGCAUUUGCAGAGGCCCUGAGGAACCAUCCGAGGUUGACAAAUGUGAGUCUCGCAUUUAACGGCAUCACAACAGAGGGAGGCAAAAGCAUUGCUGAAGCUUUGCAGCACAACAACUCCGUGAAAAUAUUCUGGCUGACAAAAAAUGAGCUGGAUGAUGAGGCAGCAAUGAGUUUUGCAGAGAUGCUGAAGAUCAACAAGAAACUGGUGCAUUUAUGGCUUAUCCAGAAUCAAAUUACAGCCAAAGGAGUGAAGUACCUCAGCGAAGCUCUCAAGGAGAACACAGCCAUCAAAGAAGUCUGUUUGAAUGGGAACCUGAUAAGUCAAGAAGAAGCCAAAGCUUUUGAAAGUGAAGAACGGAUCAUUUGCUUCUGAGUGAGGACUUCCCCAUUUGGACAAGCUUUGUGUUACAGAAGCUGCCACGCUUGGACUGCAGCGUUACAGAGGCAGUGCUCGUGGCAAUGCCUGCUAUCCCUAUUCCUUUUGGUUUUCUCUGCGACCCAUUCAGCGAUCCAAGCCAAGCGAAACAAAUGAACGCCAACGGUGAUGUCUUCAGAUUAUGAUGAUGAUUCUCACCUUUAGCAAAACAACCAUUUUUUGUAUCAAUUUUCACCUACUGAUCAGAAUUUCAGUUACAGUGUGGAAUACUGGUAGCCAAACAUCAUAAGCCAUGACACCAUUCCUUUAAGUUGGUGUCUUGCAAUGCUUGGGAGCAAUAGCUCAGUGCGAGGCAAAGAUUUAGAACUAGCCAACUAAAGGAAUAAUCUUAUUCUUUAAGCCUUUGACACUGACUGCAGAUCUGAAAUAACAACAACUACAAGCUGGAAAUAAUGAAUCUCUGUGGGAUAGGAUGGAUAGAAAUGUUAAUUUUUUUUUUUUUUUAACAUUCUGGAACGCAUUAAGAUGAAAGUGAUUUUGAAAAUACCUAAUUUCAACUUUUUUUAAUGAUUCCAAAAGCUUUCUUUCAGAAAUGCAUGCCGUGGAACAGUCCAAAAUUACACGGUUAUGCUAUUUUGAUCUUGUUUCAUUUCCAUGGAAAAAAUACUCUUUAAAAGUUAAUGCUAAAGCUUUACUGGCACUGACUUGCCACUUUCCAGCACUAAAACUGGAAUACAUCAUUUCAGACCACACCAUAAAAGGAUGCAAAACCCUUUUAUAUAUUGUAAUAUAUGUCACUGCUCACUGAUUAAUACUGCAGUUCUGAGACACAUUAGCAAAUUCACAGGUUAUGAAAACAGCAUCAAGAGUAAUUUCAAAUAAUCAAUCGUAAUAUUGUUAAAAUGUAUGUAUCUAAAAAUAAAUAUUACCUAAGAACACGAA